rnacentral:rRNA from 1 species
AUUGAACGCUGGCGGAAUGCUUUACACAUGCAAGUCGAACGGCAGCACGGGUGCUUGCACCUGGUGGCGAGUGGCGAACGGGUGAGUAAUAUAUCGGAACGUACCCAGUAAUGGGGGAUAACUAACCGAAAGGUUAGCUAAUACCGCAUACGCCCUGAGGGGGAAAGCGGGGGAUCGAAAGACCUCGCGUUAUUGGAGCGGCCGAUAUCUGAUUAGCUAGUUGGUGAGGUAAAGGCUCACCAAGGCGACGAUCAGUAGCUGGUCUGAGAGGAUGAUUAGCCAGACUGGAACUGAGACACGGUCCAGACUCCUACGGGAGGCAGCAGUGGGGAGUUUUGGACAAUGGACGCAAGUCUGAUCCAGCCAUUCCGCGUGCAGGAUGAAGGCCCUCGGGUUGUAAACUGCUUUUGUACGGAACGAAAAGGUCUCUCUUAAUACGGGGGACUCAUGACGGUACCGUAAGAAUAAGCACCGGCUAACUACGUGCCAGCCGCCGCAGUAA